rnacentral:piRNA from 1 species
UGGGCAGCAAAGCUCAAGAGGUGUCC